CCUCUCUCAGGGUUACACCUGGAGAGUUUCCAGUACUAUACCGGUUUUGACUACAGGAGAAAGAGUCAAGCAGAGGCCUACCCAUUCCAUUCCUAGCUUGGCCAGUGGCUAGCGAGUGGAAGGCCAUCUGUGACAUGU